UGGACAGAUUAUUGUAUUCUACUGUAUUCACGGCGUGAAACAGGGGAUUACAUUGUUUUUAAACGGAAAGUGAAUCAAUUAACAUAAUAGACUCCU
rfam:Nicotiana attenuata strain TT chromosome 6, whole genome shotgun sequence.